AAAUUCAAGAAAUCAGGAACAAAUGAAACCAUUAGAAGAAAAGCAAGAGGAGGAAAGAUCAAAAGUGGAUGAUCUGAGGGGGACCCCGAUGUCAGUAGGAACCUUGGAAGAGAUCAUUGAUGACAAUCAUGCCAUCGUGUCUACAUCUGUGGGCUCAGAACACUACAUCAGCAUUCUUUCAUUUGUAGACAAGGAUCUGCUGGAACCUGGCUGCUCGGUCCUGCUCAAUCACAAGGUGCAUGCCGUGAUAGGGGUGCUGAUGGAUGACACGGAUCCCCUGGUCACAGUGAUGAAGGUGGAAAAGGCCCCCCAGGAGACCUAUGCGGAUAUUGGGGGGUUGGACAACCAAAUUCAGGAAAUUAAGGAAUCUGUGGAGCUUCCUCUCACCCAUCCUGAAUAUUAUGAAGAGAUGGGUAUAAAGCCUCCUAAGGGGGUCAUUCUCUAUGGUCCACCUGGCACAGGUAAAACCUUGUUAGCCAAAGCUGUAGCAAACCAAACCUCAGCCACUUUCUUGAGAGUGGUUGGCUCUGAACUUAUUCAGAAGUACCUAGGUGAUGGGCCCAAACUCGUACGGGAAUUGUUUCGAGUUGCUGAAGAACAUGCACCGUCCAUCGUGUUUAUUGAUGAAAUUGACGCCAUUGGGACAAAAAGAUAUGACUCCAAUUCUGGUGGGGAGAGAGAAAUUCAGCGAACAAUGUUGGAACUGCUGAACCAGUUGGAUGGAUUUGAUUCUAGGGGAGAUGUGAAAGUUAUCAUGGCCACAAACCGAAUAGAAACUUUGGAUCCAGCACUUAUCAGGCCAGGCCGCAUUGACAGGAAGAUUGAGUUCCCCCUGCCUGAUGAAAAGACGAAGAAGCGCAUCUUUCAGAUUCACACAAGCAGGAUGACGCUGGCUGAUGAUGUAACCCUGGAUGACUUGAUCAUGGCUAAAGAUGACCUCUCUGGUGCUGACAUCAAGGCAAUCUGUACAGAAGCUGGUCUGAUGGCCUUAAGAGAACGUAGAAUGAAAGUAACAAAUGAAGACUCAAAAUCUAAGAUGUUUUUUGAAAGGGAGCGACUGUCCAAGGGCCAGAAAUGUUAA